GAUGAACGCUAGCGGCAGGCCUAAUACAUGCAAGUCGAACGGUGUCUUCGGACAUAGUGGCGCACGGGUGCGUAACACGUAUGCAACCUACCUUACAUUGGGGGAUAGCCUUUCGAAAGGGAGAUUAAUACCGCAUAAGACAGUAGCUGGGCAUCCAGCAGCUGUUAAAGAUUUAUCGAUGUAAGCUGGGCAUGCGUCCAAUUAGCUAGUUGGUGGGGUAACGGCUCACCAAGGCAAUGAUUGGUAGGGGAACUGAGAGGUCAAUCCCCCACACUGGCACUGAGAUACGGGCCAGACUCCUACGGGAGGCAGCAGUAGGGAAUAUUGGGCAAUGGACGCAAGUCUGACCCAGCCAUGCCGCGUGCAGGAUGAAGGCGUUAUGCGUUGUGAACUGCUUUUAUACAGGAGGAAACGACUCUUGCGAGAGGCAUUGACGGUACUGUAUGAAUAAGCACCGGCUAACUCCGUGCCAGCCGCCGCAGUAAAAC
rnacentral:rRNA from 1 species